GCGGAGGAAAAGAAACCAACAGGGAUUGCCCCAGUAACGGCGAGUGAAGCGGCAACAGCUCAAAUUUGAAAUCUGGUCCCCCCGCGGGGCCCGAGUUGUAAUUUGAAGAGGAUGCUUCUGGCAAGGUGCCGUCCGAGUUCCCUGGAACGGGACGCCGCAGAGGGUGAGAGCCCCGUACGGUCGGACGCCGAGCCUCUGUGAAGCUCCUUCGACGAGUCGAGUAGUUUGGGAAUGCUGCUCAAAAUGGGAGGUAAACCCCUUCUAAAGCUAAAUACCGGCCAGAGACCGAUAGCGCACAAGUAGAGUGAUCGAAAGAUGAAAAGCACUUUGAAAAGAGAGUUAAAAAGCACGUGAAAUUGUUGAAAGGGAAGCGCUUGCGACCAGACUCGCGCCCGUCGGAUCAGCCGUCGCUCGUCGGCGGCGCACUCCGGCGGGCUCGGGCCAGCAUCAGUUCGCCUCGGGGGGAGAAAGGCGGCGGGAAUGUGGCUCUACGGAGUGUUAUAGCCCGCCGCGUAAUACCCCCGG
rnacentral:rRNA from 1 species